AUUGAACGCUGGCGGCAGGCCUAACACAUGCAAGUCGAACGAGUGGCGGACGGGUGAGCAAUGUCUGGGAAACUGCCUGAUGGACGGGGAUAACUACUGGAAACGGUAGCUAAUACCGCAUAACAUCCGAUGUGCCCAGAGGGGAUUGGCUAGUAGGUGGGGUAAAGGCUCACAUAGGCGACGAUCCCUAGCUGGUCUGAGAGGAUGACCAGCCACACUGGAACUGAGACACGGUCCAGACUCCUACGGGAGGCAGCAGUGGGGAAGAUUGCACAAUGGGCGCAAGCCUGAUGCAGCAAUGCCGCGUGUAUGAAGAAGGCCUUCGGGUUGUAAAGUACUUUCAGCGGGGAGGCGUUACCCGAAGAAGAAGCACCGGCUAACUCCGUGCCAGCAGCCGCGGUAAUUC
rnacentral:rRNA from 1 species